UUGAACGCUGGCGGCAUGCUUACACAUGCAAGUCGAACGGCAGCACAGCAGGGGUACCCUGUGGGUGGCGAGUGGCGAACGGGUGAGUAAUGCAUCGGAACGUACCCUGUUGUGGGGGAUAACUAACGCGAAAGCGUAGCUAAUACCGCAUACGCCCUGAGGGGGAAAGCGGGGGACCCUAAAUAGAGCGCACUGGGGAGAGAAGAAAAGUGCGUUGUAUUUAGGGCCUCGCGCAAUAGGAGCGGCCGAUGCCGGAUUAGCUAGUUGGUGAGGUAAAGGCUCACCAAGGCGACGAUCCGUAGCUGGUCUGAGAGGAUGAUCAGCCACACUGGGACUGAGACACGGCCCAGACUCCUACGGGAGGCAGUAGUGGGGAAUUUUGGACAAUGGGCGCAAGCCUGAUCCAGCCAUGCCGCGUGAGUGAAGAAGGCCUUCGGGUUGUAAAGCUCUUUCGGACGGAAAGAAAUCGCGCAGGUGAAUAAUCUGCGUGGAUGACGGUACCGUAAGAAGAAGCAACCGGCUAACUACGUGCCAGCAGCCGCGGUAAUACGUAGGGUGCGAGCGUUAAUCGGAAUUACUGGGCGUAAAGCGUGCGCAGGCGGUUUUGUAAGACAGGUGUGAAAUCCCCGGGCUUAACCUGGGAAUGGCGCUUGUGACUGCAAGACUCGAGUGCGGCAGAGGGGGGUGGAAUUCCACGUGUAGCAGUGAAAUGCGUAGAGAUGUGGAGGAACACCGAUGGCGAAGGCAGCCCCCUGGGUCGACACUGACGCUCAUGCACGAAAGCGUGGGGAGCAAACAGGAUUAGAUACCCUGGUAGUCCACGCCCUAAACGAUGCCAACUAGGUGUUUGGGGGAAGGAGACUUCCUUAGUACCGAAGGCUAACGCGUGAAGUUGGCCCGCCUGGGGAGUACGGUCGCAAGAUUUAAAGCUCAAAGGAAUUGACGGGGACCCGCACAAGCGGUGGAUGAUGUGGAUUAAUUCGAUGCAACGCGAAAAACCUUACCUACCCUUGACAUGCCAGGAACCUUUGCUGAGAGGUGAGGGUGCCCGAAAGGGAACCUGGACACAGGUGCUGCAUGGCUGUCGUCAGCUCGUGUCGUGAGAUGUUGGGUUAAGUCCCGCAACGAGCGCAAACCCUUGUCAUUAAUUGCCAUCAUUAGUUGGGGCACUUUAAUGAGACUGCCGGUGACAAACCGGAGGAAGGUGGAGGAUGACGUCAAGUCCUCAUGGCCCUUGUGGGUAGGGCUUCACACGUCAUACAAUGGUCGGUACAGAGGGGUCGCCAACCCCGCGAGGGGGAGCUAAUCUCACAAAGCCGAUCGUAGUCCGGAUUCGCAGUCUGCAACUCGACUGCGUGCCUGAAGUCGGAAUCGCUAGGUAAUCGCGGAUCAGGCACUGUCGCGGUGAAUACGUUCCCGGGUCUUGUACACACCGCCCGUCACACACCAUAGGGAGUGGGUUUCACCAGAAGAGAUGGUAGCCUAACCGCAAGGAGGGCGCUCAGCCACGGUGAGAUUCAUGACUGGGUGA
rnacentral:rRNA from 1 species